rnacentral:RNase_P_RNA from 1 species
CGAGUAAAUCGGAUAAUCGCGUUUGAAACGAGGAAAGUCCGUGCACCACACAGCGAGGAUGCCAGAUAACGUCUGGUGGAGGCGACUCUAAGGCUAGUGCAACAGAGAUAUACCGCCCGAAAGGGUAAGGGUGGAAAGGUGAGGUAAGAGCUUACCAGCAAGUGGGUAACUACUUGGCUAUGUAAACCCCAUCCGGUGCAAGAUCAAAUAGGAACAAACCUGGCAGCUGGUCAGGUCCGGUAGGUAGAUUGCUUGAGCAUAUCGGCGACGAUAUGCCUAGACAGAUGAUUAUUAGAACAGAACACGGCUUACGGAUUUGCUCAUUAG